rnacentral:rRNA from 1 species
UACGGAGGGAGCUAGCGUUGUUCGGAAUUACUGGGCGUAAAGCGCACGUAGGCGGCUACUCAAGUCAGAGGUGAAAGCCCAGGGCUUAACCUUGGAACUGCCUUUGAAACUAGGUAGCUAGAAUUCUGGAGAGGUCAGUGGAAUUCCGAGUGUAGAGGUGAAAUUCGUAGAUAUUCGGAAGAACACCAGUGGCGAAGGCGACUGACUGGACAGACAUUGACGCUGAGGUGCGAAAGCGUGGGGAGCAAACAGG